UACGUAGGGUGCGAGCGUUGUCCGGAAUUAUUGGGCGUAAAGAGCUCGUAGGCGGCUUGUCGCGUCGGAUGUGAAAGCCCGGGGCUUAACUCCGGGUCUGCAUUCGAUACGGGCAGGCUAGAGUUCGGUAGGGGAGAUCGGAAUUCCUGGUGUAGCGGUGAAAUGCGCAGAUAUCAGGAGGAACACCGGUGGCGAAGGCGGUUCUCUGGGCCUGUACUGACGCUGAGGAACGAAAGCGUGGGGAGCGAACAGG
rnacentral:rRNA from 1 species